AUGCUCGCUUUGGCAGCACACACACUAAAAUUGGAACGAUAUGGAGAAGAUUAGCAUGGCCCCUGCGCAGGGGUGAUACGCAAAUUCAUGAAGCAAUCCAUAUUUUU